UAUUAUCCAAAAUAUUUUUUCUCAUCCUCCAUUCUCUCUGUAUCCUCGCAAUUCCGAAAUUUGUGAUUCAAGUUUAGUGUUUCUGCUGAUGGCUAUGUGGAGUUAAAUCAUCAUUUUCGAACUCUUGCUUCGUUUUUAUAAUAUUUGUGAAGGAAAGAUUUGGAUUUUAAAUAUAAAGAAACCAGUGUGCAGUUCGGUUACAGCGUGGGGACUAGAAGAAAUGUCAGAUUUAUGCACUUACAAGAUUGAUGGUACAGUUUGGGAUGAAUUUUGUCAGAUUGAUGACCAUAUAGUGCCCCAGUCAGGUGACAAACGGGUCAAUAGAAAUUCCUUUCACGGUGAUGUUUUUAAGAAACCUCGCUGUGAAGUAACUUGUAUUUCAGGUGAUUUUAUAGAUGAAUACAAUUAUAGAUACGUUGAUGAUGAAAGAGAUGGAGGAGAAUAUAAUAGAAGGAGCUCAACGUUGGAAAAAUACUCAUCAUCCCACAAACAAAAUAGUUUGUUUCCUACUUCAUCUGAUAGCGACUCAAUAUCUGAUAAUGCCAAAACAUCAGGUCAUGACAUCAAAAACAAUCAUACAGACUCCACUGGUAGUGAGUUUUGUGCAAAUGAUCCAACUCAUGAUGAGAAGGGUUCUGCAGAUCAUAGCCACUCUUACAGUUAUCCACUUGGGGACACACCCCAAAUAGACAAUGAUCUCAACUUCUUUGAUAAUUUUGAGGAUGUUGACUGGUUGUUCAGAAGUUGUGAUUCAACGUAUGGACUUGGGACCAUCAGAGAAGAUGAAUUUGGUUGGUUUUCAUCACCCAAUGCUCUAGGAGAAUCAAGGGAUGUGCCAAAGUCAGAAUUGAAGCUUUCAUAUCCUGAAUCAAAUGCAAUGGAGAAUAUUUCAGAAAACCAUGACCUAUCAAAGUUGAUUGUGACCUGUGCUAUUAAUGAUGAUUCAGCCUUGGCAACAUCCCCCGUUGGGUCCAAAAAGAGUUCCUGGCCCCUAGGUAGGGAUGAAUUUGCUUCUCAUCUGUCUAUCGUGAAUGGACCCUCUAGCUCAGACCGCAAAGAUGAGUUUACACCUAGAGAUCAGAUCGAUGAGUGCAAAAUGCUGUCAAAGCACCAGAACCUGUCUGAGAGAAAAAGAGCAGAACAAUACUUGGGAAAUGGUAGUUCUUUCAGUUAUAUCAGUAACCUGCCAAGCGAAGUCAUUCAAUCUCCUGACAGGGACACAUCUCAUCAAGCUUUCCCAUAUGUGAACGUACAAUAUCAACAGCAAGCUAUGGGUCAAGAUUCUUAUCACGCUACAUGUGAUUCUGUAUCACUAGAAAAGCAAGUCCACCAUUCUGGAGAUAAACAGGAUGAUCACUGUGAUGUCGAAGGAAUCAAGAUAGUAACUCCAGCAGAAUUAUGUUCCUCAGAUGUACAAGAAAGCCUGUCAAUGAGUUCGGAUUUGGAUGAUAUUUCACCGGAAGCAGUUAGUUUUCUCCAGCUUCAGCAUGUCACAGAACAGAGCUUUUCGAGGGGGUCCAAUGAUUCAUAAUUUCAUUCUAAGGCCCUCUUCCAAAGCGGUGAAACAGAGAAAGGGGACAGCGUGAUAAAUUUUCCGUUGGACCACCCAAACGCAAGGUUUUGGUAAAGAUGCUCAUUUGGUAUAGGCACGUACAUACAUAUAGGCCUGAGGCGGGGAAUAAGCUUGUACGCGCGCGGCCUAUUACGGUAACAAUUGAACUUAAAGACGAAGCUAUGCAUAAGAGACGGUUUAUGUCGUUUAGCACUCCUUGCUGAACAGAGACCGCGACUUGAAAACCUGAACAACAGCUCCGGAAAUCAAAGAGAUGCCAGUGAAACAUUUAUGGCUGAAUGCGCAAAAAAGUGCACUGGUGUUAUGAACAUGGAAGUAGAUCGCUCAAUAGCACACUUACUAUUUACGUGCCCAUGAUUCACUCAGUUCAGAAACUGCUGUUGAUACAGAGAAUCAAGUCUUACCAUUCUCGAAGAAGUACAGAAGAGAGUUUCUAUUAAGCAAAGUUAAGUUAUCGGUACGAUCAUUGUAUAUUAUGCAUGGGCGCGUAUAGAAAUGCAGAAAGCGACCUCAAAUAUAGAUGCUGAUUUUUUAUUUAUUUUUUGUUAUUUCUGUUGUAGUACACCCGACUUUCUUGUUUUCAAGAUAUUGUAUAUGGUGUGUGUAUAUAUGUAUAGGUUCCUUGAUAUGCUUUCACACGUUUCAUAUUUGAGUGAGUUUUACUUUUUCUCUUGAAUGCAAGUUGCCGACUGAUAUUAUUUUU